GACGUAGGUGGCGAACGUUAUCCGGAAUUAUUGGGCGUAAAGGGUGCGUAGAUGGCCUGACAAGUUAGCAGUGGGAAAUCGAGGCUCAACCUCGUGGAAACUGAUAAUACUGUCUGGCUCGAGUGCAGGAGAGGUUAACGGAACUCCAUGUGGAGCGGUAAAAUGUGUAGAUAUAUGGAAGAACACCAAUAACGGCGAAGGCAGUUAACUAUUCUGUUACUGACAUUGAGGCACGAAAGCGUGGGGAGCAAAACGG
rnacentral:rRNA from 1 species